rnacentral:lncRNA from 10 species
AGUUUUGGUUGCGCUGCCGGGGGGCCGCGGGGUCCAGAGGCCUCACUGCAAAAAGACAUUCAUACCCUCCCAGGGCCCCCGUGGCCGUUCCUAGGGAAGACGGGGCCUAGCUGCUGGUCAGCGCCGCCCAGCCGGCCUAUGAGCUGAGGGUAGAGCCAGCGCCCUUCCAACCCGUAUUCAGUACUCUUGCGCCGUACCCUUGCUUUGCAAGUAAGCCGACCUUGGGACCUAUUCCAGGACAGGAGGCACACAGACUUUGUCCCCACCGGCUGCCUAAGAACAGUUCUUGGACACCCACGACGUGCCCGAGACUGCAGGCAGGAUUUGCACACAUUUAUCUUUAUUUUUACCCCUAGGGUUGGUAUUAUUGAUUCUAGUAAUAGUGAAAUCCUUUGAGGUUAAGCAGCUUCUCCUGGGCACAGUUAACUGAGUCAGGACUAGUUCCCACCUUCCUCACUACUAAGCCCUGGCAGUCAUGUUUUGUGUGUUUACAGUAACUCUGUGAACCAACUGUUCAGGAUAACAUAAAAGGACAACAGAGGAUUCUUUCCUGCGCUGUCUUGUAGCCUAGUAAGCUGUUAAGUAUCAAGUGCUCUCUCAACAGUUAAACAACAAUCCUGAAUGGUGUGAAUCUUCCAUGUGUAGAGGUUAGGAAAUCUACACUGCCAUUGGCGGGAGUUGCCCCUUUAUUGAAAAGAAUAUGAUGGAAGGUAGCAGGUGCUGAACCGUUUCCGUUGCUUCUUGCAACCCCCGUACAGCCCUCCGAAGGAUGACUAGGCUUCCGGCUGGAGUGCAGCGGCGUGAUCACGGCUGAUUGCAGCGACUUGCUGGGCUCAUGUCAUUCUUCCACCUCAGCCUCCCAAGAAGCUGGAACUACAGGUGCAUACCACCAUGCCUGGCUAAUUUUUUUUAUUUUUUGUAGAAACAGAGUUUCUUCAUGUUGCCCAGGCUGGCCUCAAACUCCUUGGCUCAAGUGAUCCUCCCACCUCAGCCUUCCAAAGUUCUGGGAUCUAUAUAGGCUUGAGCCACCACACCUGGCUGCCUUUUUUUUAGGUGGCCACUGUAGAGGGUACUGAAUGGCCUCAGAAGUUAGAUUACAGUCGAUUGACCUGUGUCCCAAGUUACUCCAGCCAGCUCAGGAUGUCCUCUGCAACAUCAGGACACCAUGAAUAUGGAUUUCCCAUAGAUAAACUUCCUAAGGCUACAUCACAGCCAUCCUGAGACCCACCACAGUACAGACCUAUAUAUUGUUUGGAAGAAGCAACCAAUGUGGGUUGAGAUGAAGUCAUUUUGAGCCAGUUAUUAACUGCAUUCAUAUUCCAGUAACAGAUCCAACCACAGUUUCUUAAACACAGAAGAGUGUAUUCCCUCAUGUAACAAAGAUCUGGGGCAGUCAGUCCUGGGUUGGGAUGAAAUUCCAUUGAGUCAUCAAGGAUGCAGGCUUUCUGUCUUCAAAGCUGCCUCAUGGUCCAUAAUAGCUUCCACAGCACCAGCAACCUCAUCUCCCUUCUAGGCAAGGGGAAGGACAAAAGUCUGGGCUCCCACUGUCUCCCCCAACCUUUUUUUAUUUUUUCUUUCCGAAUCAAGAGUCUUGCUUUGUUGCUGGGCUGGAGUGCAGUGGUGCGAUCUCGGCUC